rnacentral:rRNA from 1 species
CUGAAUAAGGGAGUGAAAUAGUACCUGAAACCGUGUGCUUACAAGCGGUCGGAGCUUCUUCGUGAAGUGACGGCGUGCCUUUUGCAUAAUGAUCCUACGAGUUGCUCCUCACUAGCGAGGUUAAGGGCUGAAGGCCCGGAGCCGAAGCGAAAGCGAGUCUGAAUAGGGCGUAUAGUUAGUGGGGGCAGACGCGAAACCUAGUGAUCUACCCAUGGCCAGGGUGAAGCUUUGGUAACACAAAGUGGAGGCCCGAACCCGUUGACGUUGAAAAGUCUUGGGAUGAGCUGUGGGUAGGGGUGAAAGGCUAAUCAAACUGGGAAAUAGCUCGUACUCCCCGAAAUGUAUUUAGGUACAGCCUUGAGUGUAGUGUAUUAGAGGUAGAGCUACUGGUUGGAUGCGGGGGCUUCACCGCCUACCAAGUCCUGUCAAACUCCGAAUGCUAAUACAUGUUCCUCAGGAGUGAGGGCCGGGGUGCUAAGGUCACGGUCCGAGAGGGAAACAACCCAGAUCAUCUGCUAAGGUCCCAAAAUAUAUGCUAAGUUGAACAAACGAGGUCGGGCUGCUUUGACAGCUAGGAUGUUGGCUUGGAAGCAGCCAUUCAUUUAAAGAGUGCGUAACAGCUCACUAGUCGAGCGGUUCGGCAUGGAUAAUAAUCGGGCAUAAACAUACUACCGAAGCUAUGGACUUGUAAAAGUGGUAGGGGAGCAUUGUAGUGUCGUCGAAGGUGAAGCGUGAGCUUUGCUGGAGAAGCUACAAAAGAAAAUGUAGGCAUAAGUAACGAUAAUGCGGGCGAGAAACCCGCACACCGAAAGACUAAGGUUUCCUCAGCUAUGCUAAUCAGCUGAGGGUUAGUCGGGACCUAAGGCGAACCCGAACGGGGUAGUCGAUGGAUAACUGGUUAAUAUUCCAGUACUCGCUUUAACUGCGAUGGGGUAACGAAGGUGUGACAGCUCCGCGUACUGACGGAAUAGUACGUUGAAGCCCGUAGGUAUAGGUUGGAUAGGCAAAUCCGUCCGACUUGCUGAAAGGUGAUAGUACUCCAAGGCUUCGGCUGCGGAGAUAGUGAGUGUAAUCAGACUUCCAAGAAAAACCUCUAAGCUUCAGGUUAAAGCGACUCGUACCGUAAACCGACACAGGUGGGUGAGGAGAGUAUCCUCAGGUGCUCGAGUGAAUCAUGGCUAAGGAACUAGGCAAAAUCGCCCCGUAACUUCGGGAGAAGGGGCGCCUCCGCGAGGAGGCCGCAGUGAAUAGGCCCAGGCGACUGUUUAGCAAAAACACAGGACUCUGCUAAAUCGAAAGAUGAUGUAUAGGGUCUGACACCUGCCCGGUGCUGGAAGGUUAAGAGGAGAUGUUAUCGCAAGAGAAGCAUUGAAUUGAAGCCCCAGUAAACGGCGGCCGUAACUAUAACGGUCCUAAGGUAGCGAAAUUCCUUGUCGGGUAAGUUCCGACCUGCACGAAUGGUGUAACGAUCUGGGCACUGUCUCAGCCAUGAGCUCGGUGAAAUUGUAGUAUCGGUGAAGAUGCCGAUUACCCGCAGCGGGACGAAAAGACCCCGUGAACCUUUACUAUAGCUUAGUAUUGGCUUUGGAUAAG